UACGGGGGGGGCAAGCGUUGUUCGGAAUUACUGGGCGUAAAGGGCUCGUAGGCGGCCAACUAAGUCGGAUGUGAAAUCCCCAAGCUUAACUUGGGAACUGCAUCCGAUACUGGAUGGCUUGAAUCCGGGAGAGGGAUGCAGAAUUCCAGGUGUAGCGGUGAAAUGCGCAGAUAUCAGGAGGAACACCAAUGGCGAAGGCAGCUCGCUGGGACGUGACUGACGCUGAGACGCGAAAGCGUGGGGAGCAAACAGG
rnacentral:rRNA from 1 species